UACGUAGGGGGCAAGCGUUGUCCGGAUUUAUUGGGCGUAAAGAGCGUGUAGGCGGCCAGGUAGGUCUGCUGUGAAAACUCGAGGCUUAACCUUGAGAUGUCAUCGGAAACCAUUUGGCUAGAGUCCGGAAGAGGAAAGUGGAAUUCCUGGUGUAGCGGUGAAAUGCGCAGAUAUCAGGAAGAACACCAAUGGCGAAAGCGGCUCACUGGAUCUCUUCUGACGCUGAGGCACGAAAGCUAGGGUAGCGAACGGG
rnacentral:rRNA from 1 species